GUGGUCUAGUGGCUAAGGUACUCGGCUGCUGAAUAUAUAUAUAUAUAUAUAUAUAUUCAGCAGCCGAGUACCUUAGCCACUAGACCAC
rnacentral:pre_miRNA from 1 species